rnacentral:rRNA from 1 species
GACGUAGGGGGCCAGCGUUGCUCGGAAUUACUGGGCGUAAAGGGUUCGUAGGCGGUGUGGCAAGUCGGAAGUGAAAUCUCUGGGCUCAACCCAGAGGCUGCUCCCGAAACUGCCAUGCUAGAGUGCGGGAGAGGCGAGUGGAAUUACAGGUGUAGCGGUGAAAUGCGUAGAUAUCUGUAGGAACACCCGUGGCGAAGGCGGCUCGCUGGACCGCAACUGACGCUGAGGAACGAAAGCUAGGGGAGCAAACAGG